GCUAAAGGCAUGCUUCCUCCCCUCCCGCGGCCCCACCACACACGACUUUCUACUCAAGCUCAUCCCUUUACUGACCAAAUCCCUUUCGCAAGAGUUAACCAGCAUAUUCACUCUUUCAUCCCUCACGCUGGUAAACUCUGGAACGAUCUUCCUUCAUCUGUAUUUCCUCCUGCCUACGACUUGAACUAUUUCAAGAGGAGGAUAUCAGGACACCUCUCCUCCCGAAAUUGACCUCUCUUUCGACCAUUCCUCUAACUCUUUUUAGGAACAGUGAGUAUCGGGCUUUUUUUUAACAUUUGUUAACUUUUUUUAUUUCCUUGAACUGACUCCUUAGCUGUAAAAAAAUAUCUUCUACUAGUUAGGAAACGUACUGAGUCCUGGAUCGGCUACGGUGAUGUCAGGUGCGCCUAUUACUAAAUUAUCAUCCACUAUUUUUUUUUUUUUUUAUGUCUACGCCUAUAGCGCCAGAAGGCUUGCUUGCGGGGCCUGGAUGGUAGUCGGCCCCAGCCCGUAUUGGCGCAGGCAGGUGUUUAUAGUGGCUGUGUUAUAUCUUUUUUUUUUCUGGAAUAUCUCAAUAAUUAUCUGUUGGAUCACUAUGAUACUUUGCCACAGUUUGUUUCACACCCUCCGGUAAUAUUUGUCAGCAUAGUGCAUUAUCAGAGGGGUGUGAGUAAGGCACAUACUCUUGACGCUUAAAGGGAAAUAGCGAAAUGAAAGGACAGGGGUGGGUUUCAUCAAAGUUCCCAAGUCCUUGGAAGUGUGCUCAAGGAGUCCGAAGCGUGCGAGAAACCUUGGGCAUGUUUCACGUAAGCUCCCAAGCCUUGGAACUUUGCCUAUCUCGCUCGCCGCCUUGGGAGGCCGUGCGGAGUCUCCCAAACGCUCCCAAGGAAGGUUCCAAGCGUCAGACUGUAAACAUGACAGCCCGUGAACAACACCGCCAGCACCGACCAAGUAAUUUUCGCCCGAGAAGGGACAUCUUUAAUGAGGACGAUGACACCGAGUUCAAGAAGAGGUACAGGGUGGAUCGUGCUGGCCUGUUGUUCAUCACUGACCUGGUGCAACGCAUGAUUGGCAACAGGACUGAGAGGAGCCGUGCGGUCACAGCGGAGCUGAAAGUGGCGUUGACUCUGCGAUACCUCGCCACCGGGAAAAUGCAGUAGUGCAACGCAGAUGACUUUGGAGUUUCCCGGGCCACAGUCAGCAGAAUCAUCACUCAGACCGUGGAUGCUUUCGUGACACAAGAGAAUAUGAGGCGGUUCAUGGGCUUCCCUUUAAACCGGGGGGCGCAGCAGAGAAUGAAGGCGGAGUUUGCCGAAAUUGCUGGUUUUCCCGGUGUGGUGGGUGCUGUUGAUGGCACCCACGUAAGAAUAGUGGCCCCACAUGAGCACGAAGAAGUGUACGUCAACCGCAAGAACUACCACAGCAUCAAUGUGCAAGUGUUAUUUGAUGCACAGUACAAGCUGCGGGGCAUGGUGGCGAGGUGGCCAGGGUCUACUCACGACUCUAAGAGAGAGUGGUCUCUGGAAUAUCUCUGAGCAAAAUCUAGCUGGCCCUGGGUGUUACAUUCUCGGGGACAGUGGCUAUCCCUCAAAGCGAUGGCUGCUUACACCAUACCCACGGCCACAAGAAGGACACCAAGCAGCGUACAACAGUGCACACAAAAGAAGAAGGAGCAUGGUCGAGAGGGGCAUCGGUCAGCUCAAACGCCGAUUUCACGUCCUGCAUGGAGAAAUCAGGCUCGAACCCAGAAAAGCUUGCAGUCAUUAUGGCGUGUGGCAUACUCCACAGCAUUUGCAAGCUACGUAACAUCGAACUUGAAGAAGAGGAUGACAUUGGUGAUGAGCCUGCUGGUGAUGAGGGGUUCCAGCCAGAGGAUGGCAGACCUGCUGCUGUCCAUGAAGGGGCUCUCUUCAGAGAACACAUUGCUCGCCAACAUUUUAGGGUUGCGGCAUAAGCUGUUGCAAUGGCCCCCCUUCAACAGCUCUACAACUACAACUUGUAAAGCACUUUUGGACAAAGUUGGUUCUGCAUGGGAUCUUCAUGCAAGGAUGUAGAAUAAAUUACAUGUUUCAGAACUAUUUUGUUUAUUGU